rnacentral:lncRNA from 1 species
UUCUUUUUAAAAUUCAUUUUUAUUUUUAAAUAAUAGAUUUUCAUUUCCAAAAUAUUUGCAAAGAUAGUUUUCAGCAUUCACUCUUGCAAAACCUUGUGGUCCAAUUUUUUUCUCCCUCCUUUCCCCCACUUCUUCUCCUAGAUAGCAAAUAAUCCAAUAUAUAUGUUAAACAUGUGCAAUUCUUUUUUACAUAUUUCCACAAUUAUCAGGCUGAACAUGAAAAAUCGGAUUAGAAAGGAGGGAAAUGAAAAAGAAAAGAAAAAGUAAGCAAGCAACAAUAAAAACAGUGAAAAAACUGUUAUGACACCCAUUCAAUACCAACAGUCCUCUUUCUGGAAGCAAAUGGCUUUCUCCAUAACAAAUCUGUUGGAACUGGCCUGAAUCACCUCAUAGUUUAAAAGAGCAAAAUCCUUCAGAAUUGAUCAUCAUAUUGACAGAAUACAGUUUCUAGGGGAAAUAUAGCAGCAAUCCUGAAGUCUUCUAGCCUUAGGAAUAUAAUAAUAGAAAUACAAUAUAGUUAUAUAUUUCUUCCCCUAAAUUUCAGAGAAGAUAUAGCAGUAAUCCUGAGGCCCCUGACAGACAAUCUGACAGAUUCUAGUCUCUUGGCCUUAAGAAUACUAUAUCAUAAAGGGGCAGCUAGGUGUCGCAGUGGAUAGAGCACCAGCCCUGAAAUCAGGGGGACCUGAGUUCAAAUCUGAUCUUGCCUCAGAAAAAAAAAAAAAUACUAUAUUAUAGUACCAUAAACAUUGAUGCUGUCAAAUAAACAAUCUUUUGGCCAGUAAUAACCAAGUUCUGAGACAAUAAUGAAUAGAUCACCCCUCAAACCUACCUGUAAGCCAUAAAAUUAGCACAUAAGUAGCAUGAAGUUCUGGUCUAACUUUGUUCUAUAAAUUUAUUUUCUUUCUCUUCAUUUUUUACUAAAUUCUUUUAGGACUUAGCUUGCUUCAAUUGGCAUUACAAUUAUAAUAAACUUUGCCCCUUGAUUUGGAGAUAGAUUCAAACCUGCAAAUUCUUUUGAGACACCUCGCGACCCCAGUCUUCAACCCCAACAUUUUGGGGUCUCUUUUGAACCUCAACAAUAUAAUCUUCUAUGCCUGUGUACAAUGUUGUUUUGGUUCUACUCACUUCACUUAGCAUCAGUUCAUGUAAGUCUCUUUGGGUCUUUCUGAAACCAUCCUGCUGAUCAUUUCUUAUAGAACAAUAUUUCAUCUCAUUUAUAUGUCAUAAUUUAGUCAGCCAUUCCCAAACUGACAGGCAUCUACUCACUUUCCAAAUCCUUGCCACUACAAAAAGGGUUGCAACAAACAUUUUUACACAUGUGAGUCCUUUUCCCUUUAUUAUGAUCUCUUUGUGAUACAGGUCCAGUAGAGGCACUGAUGGAUCAAAAGGUAUACACAGUUUCAUAGCCCUUUGGACAUAAUUCCAAAUUGCUCUACAGAAAGGUCAGCUCACAACUUCACCAACAAUGUAUUAGUGUCCAGUUUUCCCAUAUCCCUUCCAAUAUUUAUCAUUAUCUUUUCCUGUCAUCUUAGUCAAUCUGACAGGCAUAUAUAGUGGUAAACUACAGAGUUGUUUUAAUUUGUUUUAAUUUUAAUUUUUCUGAUCAAUAGUAAUUUAAAGAACUAUUUCAUAUGACUAGAAAUGGUUCUAAUUUUUUUAUCUGAAAAUUGUCUGUUCAUAUUCUUUGACCGUUUACCAAAUGGAAAAUGGCUUGUAUUCUUAUAAAUUUGAGUCAAUUUUCUAUGUGUUUUAGAAAUGAGGUCUUCAUUAGAACCCUUGAAUGUAAAGAUUUUUUCCCAGUUUUGUGCUUCUAAUCUUGUCUGCACUGGUUUUGUUUGUAUAAAACCUUUUUAAUUUAAUCAAAAUUAUCCAUUUUGCAUUUCAUACUGUACUCUAGUUCUUGUUUGGCCAUAAAUACUUUCGUUUUCUACAGACCCAAGAGGUAGACUAUCCUUGUUUUUCUAAUUUGCCUAUAGUAUCACUCUUUGUCUAAAUCAUGAACCCAUUUUGAUUUUAUCUUGAUAUAUGGUGUUAGGUGUUGGUCAAUGCCUAGUUUCUACCAUACUAUUUUCCAAUUUACCUAGCAAUUUUUGUCAAAUAUUGAGUUUUUUUCCCCCAGAAGCUGGGGUUUUUGGGCUUAUCAAACACUGAUUACUAUAGUUUUCUAUUACUGUAUCUUGUGAACCUAACCUAUUCCACUGAUUCAUUACUCUAUUUCUUAGUCAGUGCCAAAUGGUCUUGAUGACUACUGCUUUGUAAUAUAAUUUUGAAGCCUAUAGUUAGGCUACCUUCAUUUGCAUUUUUUAAAUUAAUUCCCUUGGCAUUCUUGACUUUUUGUUCUUCCAGAUGAAUUUUGUUAUUUUUUCUAGCUCUAUAAAAUAAUUUCUUGACAGAUUGGUAUGGCACUGAAUAAGUAGAUUUAUAUAGAAUUGUCAUUUUUAUUAUAUUAGCUUGGUCUAUCCAUGAAUUCCAAUUAUUUAGACCUAAUUUUGUGUUGAAAUUUUUUUUUUGGUAAUUGUGUUCAUAGAGUUCCUGUCUUGGCAAGAAAACUCCCAAAUAUUUUAUAUUAUCUAGUUAUUUUAAAUGGAAUUUCUCUUUAUAUCACUUGCUCCUGGUAUAUUGGUAACAUACAGAAAUACUGAUGACUUACGAGGAUUUAUUUUGUAUCCUGCAACUUUGCUAAAGUUGUUCAUUGUUUCUGGUAGGUUUUU